rnacentral:sRNA from 1 species
AUGACCCUCCUAGAAGAGUAGUUCUCUAUCUACAGAAUAGAUACAGCAUGGGCAGCAGCAUUGCAAGCUUCCCCGGGUUGCUAAUGUGCAUCAGUCCUGAGAUGGAGGGGGCCAUCUCUUUGUGAGACGAUAGUUCAUUAUCUCUGCGUGCUUGACCUUGUUGCUUAG